ensembl:lncRNA
ACUCACAAGUGAUAAAGUUGCUAAAGAAAAGACUUUUAGGUGUUUAUACAACAUUUGUAUCAAUCACUGAUUUUUUUCUGUAGCCCCAUGUGUGCCAUACCACAUUGAGACCUAUGCAGAGUGUGAAAAUAACCUUGGAGCUGUCAGCUGGGCUGGCAGUGAUGGCGCAGAUUUUUUCACCGCCAUUGCUGUAGGACAGGAUGGCCACACGCACGUCUGCCUAACAAAUACAACUUUCUGUGUCUGGGAGGAACUGCACUGUGGAGAAAUUUACUUUGUCCAAGUCACUGCCAAUGCCCAAAUCUGCAACAGUGGGUCCAGUGAUGGCACAGUCAUACACAUGGCUCCAUGUGUCCCUCAAGAACUGGUGUCCUCUUUCGACUGUGACAUGAGAGUGGCUUCCCUCACCUGGGAAGCAAGUGAAAAUGCUGAGAUGUACCUGGUGUCUGCAGAAUCUGAUAGCGGUCACCGGGUGGAACUCUCAACAAAUGCCACAAGUGCACAAUUCUCUGAGUUCAACUGUGGUCAGCCGUACUAUCUGACUGUGCAAGCUGUGGGAAAUGUAUGUAGAAGCCACCCCAGUAAUGCUUCAGUAUUGCAGACAGAGCCCUGUACUCCAGCAGCUGUCGUUGGCUUUAUGGACUGCAUCUCCAACAUUGCUACUGUAUCCUGGGUGUUAGCUGAAGGUGCAGAAUACUACACAGCGACAGUUCAUGGCCCAGAUGGGCCUUCGGAAACAUGCAUGUCCUCGUCAUCGAGCUGUGGCAUGCCCAAACUGUCCUGCGGUGAAACAUACAAUGUUAGCGUGAUUGCCUCCAGUCGCAAGUGUAACUCAACACCCAGUGCGCUGAGCUCUCUUAACUCAGGUAAUGCAAGCAAACAAACGACAGCAUAAAUAUAAGACACAAAUACACAAGUCUCAGCACAGGUACAGGUAUAACACUAAAGCACUUAAGCC